rnacentral:rRNA from 1 species
AGUGGCGGACGGGUGAGUAACGCGUAAGAAUCUAACUUCAGGACGGGGACAACAGUGGGAAACGACUGCUAAUACCCGAUGUGCCGCAAGGUGAAACCUAAUUGGCCUGGAGAAGAGCUUGCGUCUGAUUAGCUAGUUGGUGGGGUAAAGGCCUACCAAGGCGACGAUCAGUAGCUGGUCUGAGAGGAUGAGCAGCCACACUGGGACUGAGACACGGCCCAGACUCCUACGGGAGGCAGCAGUGGGGAAUUUUCCGCAAUGGGCGAAAGCCUGACGGAGCAACGCCGCGUGAGGGAGGAAGGUCUUUGGAUUGUAAACCUCCUUUCUCAAGGAAGAAGUUCUGACGGUACUUGAGGAAUCAGCCUCGGCUAACUCCGUGCCAGCAGCCGCGGUAAUACGGGGGAGGCAAGCGUUAUCCGGAAUUAUUGGGCGUAAAGCGUCCGCAGGUGGUCAGCCAAGUCUGCCGUCAAAUCAGGUUGCUUAACGACCUAAAGGCGGUGGAAACUGGCAGACUAGAGAGCAGUAGGGGUAGCAGGAAUUCCCAGUGUAGCGGUGAAAUGCGUAGAGAUUGGGAAGAACAUCGGUGGCGAAAGCGUGCUACUGGGCUGUAUCUGACACUCAGGGACGAAAGCUAGGGGAGCGAAAGGGAUUAGAUACCCCUGUAGUCCUAGCCGUAAACGAUGGAUACUAGGCGUGGCUU